AAACAUAACCCUGGGUGUCCGUUAAAUCAGCAGGCAUGUCAGUUGGCACUUCUGGUUACAGACCAUUUUACGGUCAUACAUCAUUCAUAGCCGUAAAAGCCAUUUGCCCUCUGUCACCCAACCAAUCAGGAUCCAGCCAAGAGGAAGCGGAGCAGUAGCCUGGCAGUUUUCUCCAGGCUCCUCUGAAUUUCCUCAACCUGGUUCAGCAGAAUGUCACAGAAAAUUAACUCUCCGGGGUUAUUAGGGACCCCUUCCCUUCCCCCACCCUGCUAAGAAGCAAUGCGUGAUCUCAGGCUAAUAUUUACCCCAAUCACAAGCAACACCUUGUGACGUCCGGGGUAAGAGAGCAGCGGGCAUUGUACGCAGGCCCGGCACAACACCCGUCGCCUUGAACCACUCGAGUGAAGAGACAAAUAUUUUCCAAGAGAUAAGAUGCUUGAGUUGUCUGAACCCUGCCAAUGGACAAUGUGGGCCUUAUGUUCUUGGGGGUCUUUUCCUCCAAUACCUUGUUCCUGCUGACCUCUGGACCUGUCUUGGACCUCAAGACGGCUCUCUUCUCUGGCCUGUGGCCACCAAGACACCUGAAGGCCUGCAAUUAGUACUCAUAUCAUGCACUCAAAAGGACCUAUAGUGACAAUUCCACAUGUGUGCGUGUGUGUGCUCGCAAAUGUUACCUGGUAAUCCACCCUGGCAGAUAAGUAACUGCUAACUAAGAAUUGAUGUUGGACAUCGUUGCGGGCUGCUCCCAGAACCUCAAAAUCCCUCCAGUGUUACUAGGCAGAACCAUUCACCACUGUCUGGGACCCAAUCUGAAGGCAGUCGAUUGGCCCAUAUAAAUAUUUGCUAAAAUGAAGACGGUUCUCUCCCCUAAGAUGAGUUCUGCCGCAGCUCAACUAACAGGCAACCUACGAGAGUUAUUUCAGGGCUAUCGAAUGGUUAUAAUUUAGGAUCCAUUUUACAAUCCCUCCAUACAUAGGCAGAGAAGACUUUCACAAUGAAAACUGUAGCAAGCACCAACCACAGCCAACCUGCAGUUCCUUUUUGACCCGCCGUGUCGUUAUUAAUGGAAAAGUUAACAUCAACUGGACAGCAUAGAUAUUUUUACAAAUCUAUAGAGGCUUGAGCCGCGAGUUGCACAAAAACGGUCAUGGAGGAAAAUAACACAGAAGAAGUUGCCAGGAAAGAGCCAAAUGAACUUUCUCCUUGUUAAGAAAUGUUUAGGUCCUUUUGUUUGUAAAUGGCAGGUGGGUGGUACAAUUCCAGUGUAAUUUCAGAAAGCCAUCUUCUGAAUGUAAUAAACAUGUCUGCAAUAAUAGGAUUCAGAAAAUCGCAAAAUGCAUUCCAGACACCCUUUGAUUGUGCAUACAGAACAGAGGAUUUAGCUAUAAUUGGCUAUAACACAGUUAUGGACGGCAAAUGACACACGGCAGAGCUGGGUGAUGUAGCAGCUCUGAUUAGCGACGGUAAGGUUCAGCUGAACAUCGCGAAUAAAACAGCAAGUGCAUGGUGACACAGCACCUGCCCUCCCUCCCUUCUUCCCUCUCUUCCCGCCUCACUCCCUUCCUUGCUCACUUUCUCCCUUUCUGUUUAAUUGAAGCCUCAUAACUUAGACUAGAGAACUUAGUUUGUUAUUACCCAACGAAUCACAUGUCAGCCAAGCCUUCAUUUUCUUCAGAGAGUCACAGUUGUGUGGAAAGGGGAAGUAGGAGCCCAUGGGGAAUUGACUUUUUGGAGAACUAGAUGUAAUUUGAAUCAAGAAUUAUAAUAGGAAAUAAACCAUUACAAUAAACAAGGAAACAUGUACACAA